UAUACUUUGGUGUAAGAGGCACAGGAAUUUUUGAUAUUCUCGGAGUAGUUUAAUUCUACAAUGUAUAAU
rnacentral:tRNA from 1 species